UACGUAGGGUGCUAGCGUUGUCCGGAUUUAUUGGGCGUAAAGGGCUCGUAGGUGGUUUGUCGCGUUGUUCGUGAAAACUCACAGCUUAACUGUGGGCGUGCGGGCGAUACGGGCAGACUUGAGUACUGCAGGGGAGACUGGAAUUCCUGGUGUAGCGGUGAAAUGCGCAGAUAUCAGGAGGAACACCGGUGGCGAAGGCGGGUCUCUGGGCCGAUAUUGACGCUGAGGAGCGAAAGCGUGGGGAGCAAACAGG
rnacentral:rRNA from 1 species